ACGCACGCUGGCGGCGUGCUUCACACAUGCAAGUCGCACGCUGAAGCUUGGUGCUUGCACUGGGUGGAUGAGUGGCGAACGGGUGAGUAAUACGUGAGUAACCUGCCCUUGACUCUGGGAUAAGCCUGGGAAACUGGGUCCAAUACUGGAUACGACAUGUCACCGCAUGGUGGUGUGUGGAAAGGGUUUUACUGGUUUUGGAUGGGCUCACGGCCUAUCAGCUUGUUGGUGGGGUAAUGGCUCACCAAGGCGACGACGGGUAGCCGGCCUGAGAGGGUGACCGGCCACACUGGGACUGAGACACGGCCCAGACUCCUACGGGAGGCAGCAGUGGGGAAUAUUGCACAAUGGGCGGAAGCCUGAUGCAGCGACGCCGCGUGAGGGAUGACGGCCUUCGGGUUGUAAACCUCUUUCAGCACGGAAGAAGCGAAAGUGACGGUACGUGCAGAAGAAGCGCCGGCUAACUACGUG
rnacentral:rRNA from 1 species